UACCUUGUUACGACUUAGCCCCAGUCAUCGGUUUUGCCCUAGGGCGCUGCUCGCGCUCACGCACUUCAGGCACUCCCGACUCCCAUGGCUUGACGGGCGGUGUGUACAAGGCCCGGGAACGUAUUCACCGCGCCGUGGCUGAUGCGCGAUUACUAGCGAAUCCAGCUUCAUGGAGUCGGGUUGCAGACUCCAAUCCGAACUGAGACAGGCUUUCGGGUUCCGCUCCCUGUCGCCAGGUGGCUUCCCGCUGUACCUGCCAUUGUAACACGUGUGUCGCCCCGGACGUAAGGGCCGUGCUGAUUUGACGUCAUCCCCGCCUUCCUCGCAGCUUGCGCCGGCAGUCCCGCCAGAGUCCCCAGCUUUGCCUGUUGGCAACUGGCGGUAGGGGUUGCGCUCGUUAUGGCACUUAAGCCGACACCUCACGGCACGAGCUGACGACAACCAUGCAGCACCUCGUCGCAGGUCCGUAGACGGGCAUCCUUUCAGACACCCUUCCUGCAACGUUUGAGCCCGGGUAAGGUUCCUCGCGUAUCAUCGAAUUAAACCACAUGUUCCUCCGCUUGUGCGGGCCCCCGUCAAUUCCUUUGAGUUUCACCGUUGCCGGCGUACUCCCCAGGUGGAGCGCUUAACGCUUUCUCUGUGG
rnacentral:rRNA from 1 species